CAGUCGCCGCGGUAAUACGAAGGGGGCUAGCGUUGUUCGGAGUUACUGGGCGUAAAGGGCGCGUAGGCGGCCAUUCAAGUUAGAUGUGAAAGCCCUGGGCUCAACCUAGGAAUUGCAUUUGAUACUGUUUGGCUUGAGUUCGGGAGAGGUGAGUGGAAUUCCGGUGUAGCGGUGAAAUGCGUAGAUAUCGGAAGGAACACCUGUGGCGAAAGCGGCUCACUGGACCAUUUCUGACGCUGAUGCACGAAAGCUAGGGGAGCAAACAGGAUUAGAUACCCGAGUAGUCCCUGUCUCUUAUACA
rnacentral:rRNA from 1 species